rnacentral:rRNA from 1 species
GAUGAACGCUAGCGGCAGGCUUAACACAUGCAAGUCGAGGGGCAGCAUGACACGGAGAUUCGUCGAAGUGUUGAUGGCGACCGGCGCAAGGGUGCGUAACGCGUGAGCAACUUGCCCGUUUCAGGGGGAUAACCGGUGGAAACGCCGACUAAUACCCCAUAGCAUCAACUUCAGGCAUCUUUAGUUGAUUAAAGAAAUUCGGAAACGGAUAGGCUCGCGUGACAUUAGCUAGAUGGCGGGGUAACGGCCCACCAUGGCGACGAUGUCUAGGGGUUCUGAGGAGGGUGGACGGCCACAAGGGGACUGAGAUACGGUCCCUU